rnacentral:tRNA from 1 species
GAGGUUGUAGCUCAGUGGUAGAGCAUGUGCUUAGUAUGUACGAGGCCCUGGGUUCAUUCCCCAGCACCAACA